UACGGGGGAGCAAGCGUUGUUCGGAUUUACUGGGCGUAAAGGGCGCGUAGGCGGUCAGCACAAGUCAGUUGUGAAAUCUCCGGGCUUAACUCGGAAAGGUCAACUGAUACUGUGCGACUAGAGUGCGGAAGGGGCAACUGGGAAUUCUCGGUGUAGCGGUGAAAUGCGUAGAUAUCGAAGAGGAACACCUGCGGCGAAGGCGGGUUGCUGGGCCGACACUGACGUGAGGCGCGAAAGCCAGGGGGAGCGAAACGGG
rnacentral:rRNA from 1 species